rnacentral:rRNA from 1 species
GUGCGCAGGCGGAAGAUCAAGUCAGCGGUAAAAUUGAGAGGCUCAACCUCUUCGAGCCGUUGAAACUGGUUUUCUUGAGUGAGCGAGAAGUAUGCGGAAUGCGUGGUGUAGCGGUGAAAUGCAUAGAUAUCACGCAGAACUCCGAUUGCGAAGGCAGCAUACCGGCGCUCAACUGACGCUCAUGCACGAAAGUGUGGGUAUCGAACAGGAUUAGAUACCCUGGUAGUCCACACAGUAAACGAUGAAUACUAAUUGUUCGGGGAGAAUGAUCCCUGAGUGAUACAGCGAAAGCGUUAAGUACUCCACCUGGGGAGUACGCCGGCAACGGUGAAACUCAAAGGAAUUGACGGGGGCCCGCACAAGCGGAGGAACAUGUGGUUUAAUUCGAUGAUACACGAGGAACCUUACCCGGGCUCAAACGACACAGGAAUACUUUUGAAAGGAGGUAGCUCUACGGAGUCUGUGUCGAGGUGCUGCAUGGUUGUCGUCAGCUCGUGCCGUGAGGUGUCGGCUUAAGUGCCAUAACGAGCGCAACCCCCAUCGCCAGUUACCAGCAAGUCAAGUUGGGGACUCUGGCGAGACUGCCGGCGCAAGCUGUGAGGAAGGCGGGGAUGACGUCAAAUCAGCACGGCCCUUACGUCCGGGGCGACACACGUGUUACAAUGGCAGGUACAGAGAGAAGCAAUGCGGCGACGCAAAGCGGAACUUGAAAGCCUGUCUCAGUUCGGAUUGGAGUCUGCAACUCGACUCCAUGAAGCUGGAUUCGCUAGUAAUCGCGCAUCAGCCAUGGCGCGGUGAAUACGUUCCCGGGCCUUGUACACACCGCCCGUCAAGCCAUGGAAGCCGGGAGUGCCUGAAGUGUGCAACCGCAAGGAGCGCCCUAAGGUAAAACUGGUGACUGGGGCUAAGUCGUAACAAGGUAACCGUAA